AUCCAACUGAUGAGUCCUAAAUAGGACGAAAAGCGCGUCCUGGAU
rnacentral:hammerhead_ribozyme from 1 species